CUUGUCUCAAAGAUUAAGCCAU
rnacentral:ncRNA from 2 species